rnacentral:rRNA from 1 species
CUUUUCUUGUGUAUUUUAUUUGAAGUAUAACCUGCCCACUGAAUUGUUUUGUAAUUUUGAAUGGCCGCGGUAUCUUGACCGUGCAAAGGUAGCAUAAUCAUUAGUUUUUUAAUUGGGGACUGGAAUGAAUGGUUUAAUGUAGUAUUUAUUGUUUCAUUAUUAUUGUUAAUUGAAUUUAAUUAUUGAGUUAAAAAGCUUAAAUUUUUUUAUGGGACGAGAAGACCCUAUAGAAUUUAACAUAUUGUUGUAUAUAUUUUUAAUUUUGUUAGUAAUAUUAUUAUUUUAUAUAAUUGUUGUUUUGUUGGGGCGGUAGAUAGAAAUAUAUAACUCUAUUUUUAUAUAAUAUAUUGAUAAAUGUAUUUUUGAUCCAUGAAUUAUUAUUGAUUGUAAGAUAAAAUUACC